AUUGAACGCUGGCGGCAUGCCUUACACAUGCAAGUCGAACGGUAACAGGUCUUCGGAUGCUGACGAGUGGCGAACGGGUGAGUAAUACAUCGGAACGUGCCCGAGAGUGGGGGAUAACGAGGCGAAAGCUUUGCUAAUACCGCAUACGAUCUCAGGAUGAAAGCAGGGGACCGCAAGGCCCUGCGCUCACGGAGCGGCCGAUGGCAGAUUAGGUAGUUGGUGGGAUAAAAGCUUACCAAGCCGACGAUCUGUAGCUGGUCUGAGAGGACGACCAGCCACACUGGGACUGAGACACGGCCCAGACUCCUACGGGAGGCAGCAGUGGGGAAUUUUGGACAAUGGGCGCAAGCCUGAUCCAGCCAUGCCGCGUGCAGGAUGAAGGCCUUCGGGUUGUAAACUGCUUUUGUACGGAACGAAAAGACUCUGGUUAAUACCUGGGGUCCAUAACGGUACCGUAAGAAUAAGCACCGGCUAACUACGUGCCAGCCGCCGCCGUAAGAC
rnacentral:rRNA from 1 species